GGUUUUAUAUUUUAUUUAAAAUAUUAAAUUGCAAAUUUAAAGAAACAUUAGUUAUGUUAAAACUU
rnacentral:tRNA from 1 species